AGGCAUGGCUGGACUCGCGCUUAUAGGGGCCAUUCUGCAAAACGAAAACUAAAAGGAGCUCUAACGGCCUGCUCUCAGCACAGGAAAAAUGCACUACGGCACGCCAAUUUUACCAAGAGUAUCCUUGUCCCUCAUCAUAUUCUCUCUUACUUUCAAUGGAAGCAAAGCAAACCCACUUCUACUCAAUCACUCUCUCGUCUCAAUACUUGUAAACAUAAAAUCAGAUCAGGCAGGAUCUUACGAAAUCGAUCAAGGAUUUCAACGGAGAUCGCCAGGCUCUGAACCCAAUAAAUCUGCCUCUCGAUCAGAUUGUGGAAAUUGGAGGGUAUGUAGUUGGGCCCGGCCCGUGCUGCUCAGCCCUAGUUCUACUUUAUAAUAAAAGCCCCUCUCUCUUACGACUAACGGGGGGAAGCUAGGGUACUCUCUCCCCUGUGCGGCUACAGUCCCAAAUCCUAGCCAGGGAUCCUCAUCUUUCGCCGCGUUUGACUCAGUUAUGUCUAUGAAGGGGGAGUCUUCAUCAAAGCAGGGAGAAGAAAUAUCUGUUUUUGUAUUGGUGACUACCUUUGAGGGUGACUUCUAUGGUGCAUUAUUUGAAGUAAAACUGGAUCGAAGAGGUCAAGUCAUGGGUGGAUGUGGAGCAACUCAGCCCCCACUACUUGACCCUGUAGCACGUUUCUUUGAAAAGGAUAGUAAUAUUCCUGAAUUUUAUACCUUCGGUGGUGUUUGCAUAUGCAACAAGUUAUAUCUAUUGCUCAGUAGUGGUUCAGACAUUGGUCCAUGCAAUGAUGAUGAUGAGAUCACCACUCCUAAGAAGCCUGACUCUUUGAAUGGAUACAUUUUGGACAUUAAGACUAGGGCACUCGUUAAGUUCAGCCCUCCCAAAGCAUCUAAGUCAUCUGGAACUGUUAUACAUGCGUACGAGAAAAUUUAUUUUCUUUUAGAUCCAUUUUGCUUCCCAUGUGAACCAGAAGAUUCUUUCGAGCGCUAUGAUCCGAUCAAUGACUCUUGGGAAUCACUGAAGCCUUUUCCGUAUUCUAAGGAUUGGGCCACAACAAAGAUAACCGGUCACGCCGUUUAUGAUGGGUCCAUUUUGUUUUCUAUAUAUGGCCACAGGCAACCGGCAGUGAUGGCUUAUCAUGAAAAUAGAGAUUAUUGGGAGCCAGUCAAAGUUGAGGACUUUUGUUGGAGUGGAAAGGCCUUGGUUGUAGGCAAUACUAUGUAUGCCUUAUCCUUGCAACCUGGGGAGGUUAUAGCAUUCUCUAUCAUAACGGAUCAAACUGAUGAAGGUCAUGCUGCCUUUUCUCUUGGCAAGCCAUCGCUGUUGUCAGGCAUGGAGAUUAAGUUCCCACCGAAUCCUUCAAGGAGAUCACAAUACUUGGCUCAUUUGGGUGGCCUGGAAUUUUGUCUUGUCCAGAGUGGUUUCACAUACAAAGGCAAUGAUCGGCAACCUCUUUCUAUCACCACAUUUCGAAUUGAGGAGGGAAACAAUAUCAAGAUCUUACAUUCAGCAGUUCGUGAUGUGGAUAUUGAGGGCUUUAGUGGUUUCCUUGUUAGCUUCUGCUUCACGCAGUAAGUUCAUCACCUUUUCUGGUCAUUUCCUCUUUAAAUAAUUUUUUGAAAAGUCACUUUUAUAUGAAUUCUGGUUCUGGUUUUAUCUUUGACUCCGAGAAUGUGAAGACAUUGAACAUAAAGAAGUUGAUUUAAUGAAACAAUCAUUGAGCAGCCAAAACAAGAAGAAACAAUCAUUCACAGUCCUGACCCUUACCUGAAUUUUGGACUCCUGGACGGGUCCAAAGGUGUUGAGGAGUAAUAACAGCUCUGCGGAAGGAGUGGAGCUCGCGGGCCGUGAAGAAGGUGAAGGUUUCGGUGUCCACAGAGUCAUUCCCCUAAUCAUCAUGGCGAUGAACUUAUCUCCCAAGUUUUGACUUUCUCGGGUUCUCAGCCGUGUUUGAGAGCAGAUGGGAUCUGAGACCCAACUCUGCUAGGGUUUUGAAGAACGCCGACCCCGUAACAGAGUAUUGUAUCUUUGCACCCUCUCCAUCUAUGGACUCUUCUGCGUUUCUCCCUACUAACACUCUUUGCUGUCACUGGUGGACAAGAUGUGGUCUGCCCGGUGGCUGAUCUGGUGUUGGAAUUCAAUGGAGAUUGGUGGGUCGGUUUUGGUGACUUGAUGCUACAACAGAUGUACAGGGAUGGUGGUGGUACGGGUUCACUGGAAAUGAACUAGAAUGCUUGUUGCGGCUUUGGGGAUCUGGAAAGUACCGCCUGUUGGUGGCCUGCUUUAGUUGCAGCGGUGUGCCGACAACAGAAAGACCCAUUAUUACUUGGUCGAGUAGCACUUGGGCUGCUGGAGAUCAAGAUUGGCUCGGGUUUGUCAACUUCGCCAGUGGUCGAGUCCUCUUUUCUUUUGCUUUUACAUUUAUUGGAUUCCUUUUGAGAAAGACAUGAUUAGAUCGAAGCCUCCCGAAGUCUUCUUGGUAAACUAUUUGUGCAAUUACAUAUUUUCUCGUACUAAUAGCGCAUGCAGUGUGGUUGGUUUUGUAUCCCCCUUGCCUUGCCAAGAUCUGCAUUCGAAUCUCUACUUUAAAAAGAAAUCAAGAGCAGAGACAAUAGCUAGGCAACUUUAGAUCAAUGGAGGUGAAGAUGAAACUGAAUGAUCUUGAUUAGGAAGAUGCUCGCCUCUUCAUAUAUAGUGAUCUUAAUCGUUCUAACUCCUAGCUUAUGCUCAUAUAUUUAAAAAAAAAAAAAA